CAUAAGCGUAACCCUAGCGUAACCCACAGAGGUCUAGGUUCUUAUAAUAAUGCAUAUUGGAUAUUAUGCACAAAUGAACAUAUUGCCACUAGUUGGAGACCCAAUAAGAACAUGUAGUAUGUAGAUAUAAUUGUGGAGCACGAGGCACGACAUUUGUUUUCCUGCCGCCCACCAAAAAACCUGAUUUGGAACAAUACAAAUGUUAACAUUGAGAUCUUGUGUUUGCCACGGGACAAGUUGAUCACAUUACACCUAUGGGAUAGAUUUCAAUAAAAUGUAUGUAGUACCUACAUAGUUAGAGAUUGAGGUAGUCAAAUAUAUGUAGAUGCAAAAAUCAGCUGCAUGAAAAUGAUGCAAUGACUUAAUAUAAUUACAAUACUGGCAUGUUUCGAUACUAUAUAAUAGUAAAGUUUUUCUGGAUAGAAAUCAUAUUUGAAUCGACAAUCAGUCAACUCAGAAACCUAAUCCAAUCUAAUAAUCAUGAAGGUCCUCAUUUUCUUCGCUCUCGUCUGCCUUGCCAUUGCUUCAGCAUCAGUCAUUGGUCCAUUGGGAUUGGGUAGCGUAGCUGUUUCACCUCUUGGAGUCCCAUUGGGCGGACCAGUUGUUCUUGGAGGACAUGGAUUAGUUGCUCCUGGAAUUGUUGGACUUGGCGGACUCAGAAUUGUCGGUUAAGUAAAAUGCCUACAAUAAAA